GCCAGGGUGGUGUAGUGGUUUGAGAAUGUGACUGUGGCUCUGGAGACUAGGGUUCAAAUCCCCGCUCAGCCA